rnacentral:rRNA from 1 species
ACGAACGCUGGCGGCGUGCCUAAUACAUGCAAGUCGAACGCUUCUUUUUCCAUCGGAGCUUGCUCCACCGGAAAAAGAGGAGUGGCGAACGGGUGAGUAACACGUGGGUAACCUGCCCAUCAGAAGGGGAUAACACUUGGAAACAGGUGCUAAUACCGUAUAACAAUCGAAACCGCAUGGUUUUGAUUUGAAAGGCGCUUUCGGGUGUCGCUGAUGGAUGGACCCGCGGUGCAUUAGCUAGUUGGUGAGGUAACGGCUCACCAAGGCGACGAUGCAUAGCCGACCUGAGAGGGUGAUCGGCCACAUUGGGACUGAGACACGGCCCAAACUCCUACGGGAGGCAGCAGUAGGGAAUCUUCGGCAAUGGACGAAAGUCUGACCGAGCAACGCCGCGUGAGUGAAGAAGGUUUUCGGAUCGUAAAACUCUGUUGUUAGAGAAGAACAAGGAUGAGAGUAACUGUUCAUCCCUUGACGGUAUCUAACCAGAAAGCCACGGCUAACUACGUGCCAGCAGCCGCGGUAAUACGUAGGUGGCAAGCGUUGUCCGGAUUUAUUGGGCGUAAAGCGAGCGCAGGCGGUUUCUUAAGUCUGAUGUGAAAGCCCCCGGCUCAACCGGGGAGGGUCAUUGGAAACUGGGAGACUUGAGUGCAGAAGAGGAGAGUGGAAUUCCAUGUGUAGCGGUGAAAUGCGUAGAUAUAUGGAGGAACACCAGUGGCGAAGGCGGCUCUCUGGUCUGUAACUGACGCUGAGGCUCGAAAGCGUGGGGAGCAAACAGGAUUAGAUACCCUGGUAGUCCACGCCGUAAACGAUGAGUGCUAAGUGUUGGAGGGUUUCCGCCCUUCAGUGCUGCAGCUAACGCAUUAAGCACUCCGCCUGGGGAGUACGACCGCAAGGUUGAAACUCAAAGGAAUUGACGGGGGCCCGCACAAGCGGUGGAGCAUGUGGUUUAAUUCGAAGCAACGCGAAGAACCUUACCAGGUCUUGACAUCCUUUGACCACUCUAGAGAUAGAGCUUCCCCUUCGGGGGCAAAGUGACAGGUGGUGCAUGGUUGUCGUCAGCUCGUGUCGUGAGAUGUUGGGUUAAGUCCCGCAACGAGCGCAACCCUUAUCUUUAGUAGCCAGCGGUUCGGCCGGGCACUCUGGGGAGACUGCCGGAGAUAAUCCGGAGGAAGGUGGGGAUGACGUCAAAUCAUCAUGCCCCUUAUGACCUGGGCUACACACGUGCUACAAUGGGAAGUACAACGAGUCGCAAAGUCGCGAGGCUAAGCUAAUCUCUUAAAGCUUCUCUCAGUUCGGAUUGUAGGCUGCAACUCGCCUACAUGAAGCCGGAAUCGCUAGUAAUCGCGGAUCAGCACGCCGCGGUGAAUACGUUCCCGGGCCUUGUACACACCGCCCGUCACACCACGAGAGUUUGUAACACCCGAAGUCGGUGAGGUAACCUUUUGGAGCCAGCCGCCUAAGGUGGGAUAGAUGAUUGGGGUG